rfam:Ixodes scapularis strain Wikel colony gcontig_1108378324928, whole genome shotgun sequence.
GGUCUCAUGGUGUAACGGUUAGCACUCUGGACCCUGAAUCCAGCAAUCCGAGUUCAAAUUUCGGUGAGAUCU